GAUGAACGCUGGCGGCGUGCUUAACACAUGCAAGUCGAACGGAAAGGCCCAAGCUUGCUUGGGUACUCGAGUGGCGAACGGGUGAGUAACACGUGGGUGAUCUGCCCUGCACUUCGGGAUAAGCCUGGGAAACUGGGUCUAAUACCGGAUAGGACGAUGGUUUGGAUGCCAUUGUGGAAAGUUUUUUCGGUGUGGGAUGAGCUCGCGGCCUAUCAGCUUGUUGGUGGGGUAAUGGCCUACCAAGGCGUCGACGGGUAGCCGGCCUGAGAGGGUGUACGGCCACAUUGGGACUGAGAUACGGCCCAGACUCCUACGGGAGGCAGCAGUGGGGAAUAUUGCACAAUGGGCGCAAGCCUGAUGCAGCGACGCCGCGUGGGGGAUGACGGCCUUCGGGUUGUAAACUCCUUUCGCUAGGGACGAAGCGUUUUUGUGACGGUACCUGGAGAAGAAGCACCGGCGAACUACGU
rnacentral:rRNA from 1 species